CUACAGUAACAGCACCAGUGUGUUCUGACUGUGCAAACGUUGAUCACCCAUGGAAUUGUCAUAAAUCAGUCAGGUGUCAAGCUAAUGACGUAAGUCUAAAUUGGGGAAGAUAACAUCAUAUAGGUAAUGUACUUGGGGACAGGACAAAUAUUCUUUUAUAGAUCUCACCCUUAUUUUCCAAAUUCCGUUAUUUUCUUUUAAUUUCGAGCUCUACUGUAUUAGUUGAACAUACAUAUACUUUCAAUAAGUUUGUUAUUUUUAUCAAUUCCAAAUUUACUAUCCACAGCGGUAACUGGGAUACACUCUAUAUAAAUGUCAGUAACCGCUGUGAGUACUAAAUAGUAAAUAGCAAAUACAACUUAUUUGUAGUAUAUUCAUGUUCAUAAAAUUGAAAUUAAUGAUACAAAAAACCAAGAAAGCAAACAUAAUGGAUUUUGAACAAACUGAAAGGGGGAGGCUAAAAAAUUGUCUUGUUCCAAAGUACCUAUUAUAGAUCAAAUAUGACGGACAUAAUGUAAUUUAAUGGAAAACUCUGCCCAAUCACAUGUUUCAGUAUAAAGCAAUUAUUAUUUGGUUUCCUUAUUGACUGAAAAGACUUGAUAAAUGUUCAGGUCAGUUUGAAGUUUUAAAAAUGCUAAAUCCUAGGUACAAUGAUAUCGAUAUAAACGCUAGUUAGCAUUUUCUAUAUUGCGAUUCUUUAUGUUUAUUGAAAUGCUUUCUUCUUUCAGAUAUUUCUUUCGAAAUGAUACUUAAAAGGAAAUUUAUGGGAGGAAUAGAAAAAAACACAAUUUGGAAGUAUAUUUUCUAAAAAUCAGGAGACCUUUAUUGGUUAACUGCAAACUUACAUCUAUGAGGGUCUUACUCUAGAGGGGGUAGGUGGGGAGGGGGUUAUAGACUAGAGAAUAACGGGUACACAUGUGCAAAUUAAAGAUUGGGGUUUAUAGAAUAUAGAAUAACAGGCAAACUUGUGCAGAAUAAAAGUUGAUAAAAAAAAUAAAGUAUAUAGUGAAAAUUGCAUUACAAAUCAAGAAUAGAAAAUAAUAGGGUGUUGAAAAAAAAGGAAUCGAGAAUAUACAUUUAUUUUAUUUAGAAUAUAAAAAUCAGAAGAUGUGGUAUGAUUGCCAAUGUGACACUGUCCCGAAAUGACAAAUGUAAAACAAUUCAAACGAGAAAACGUACAAGCCUGCUUAUCGUACAAAGUAAACACAUAUCAAAUAAGAUAUACAGCAACAAACAUCACCACUGAAUAACAGGCUCCUGCCAUAACCCCUUUUUAAUCAAUAGUUCUUCUUUUAAUUACAACUUCUUUUAAUGAAUUCUAUCUACAUGUAUACUAGUAAGUAUUAUCAAAAUUAAUAGUAAUAACAUGGUCAAAAGUUUCCUAGCUCCUAGAAAAUUCUGUCGUAGUCCUUCUUUUUGGGCAUUAUAGAAAUAAUUAUAUAUAUCAACAGGUGUGUUAUGUUAAUGUAUUUCUACACCAAGGAGCAGUACUUUACACACUAGGAUGUCAGAGGAAGCAGGUGAGUAUUCAUAUGCAGUUAUAACAACAUUUUCAUUGGUUGAAAUCAUUCCACGUGACGUUAAACAAAACUUCAUAUUCCCCUCUGAACGCCUGGACUUUCUUGUCAGGUUCAGAAGGCAAAAAAGUAUAGGCAGUGGAACAUUUACUUCACCCGAUUUAGGGAGAUGUGCAGAUUUGCCCCCCCCCCUUUACAUAUCUUCCUAAGGCACAGAAAAUAAAAGUAUAAUAUCCCAGUGUAAAUACAGCUUCAAAUUAUCAACGUCAUCAGUGACUAACACAUGUUUUGCAAACUUUACCAUACAAUAAAAAAAGAAGUUAUUAGAUCUUAUUACAUAGACAUUGUUAAAUAUUAUCCCCUGUAGAAGAAAGAAAUGAGGCUUCUCAUGGGGGUGUCCAGUAAUCACAUACUCACAUUUUUGCCAUUAUAAUCACUUAAUCACUUUAUUUGUUUAAAGAAGAUAGUCCUAGAUUAUCAGAUAAUCAAAUAAUCAUGAAAUAUUGGGUCUGAUAAUCAAAUAAUCACUAGAAAAACGUCAAAGUAGCCACAUAUUAAAAAAUACACCAUAAGGAGGUUCACCUACCCGGGACUAUGUUCACCAGGCAGCAAACUUGCAAUAACCAUAUACUAAAAACUAAUAUAGCUGUCUCAAAUCCAAACACCAAGCUCUUUUGUAGAUUUCUUUCUUUCUUUGCUUGUUUUUAUUUUCUCUUUUAUUUACAGAUCUGUUUAGAGUUCAUAAAUCAUGCCGGUCCAAAUAUAGGAAAACGUAUUGCUGAUGCUGAUUUCUGCUUCGCCUGCUGUAUUGACGACAUGUGUACCAGAAUAACGUCAUGUUAUCAGCUAAGACAACGUGAGAUUUAUAUUUAACUAUGGCAACACUUAAACAUAAUUCAUUGUUUGAUGCUGCAUACCCGUGUCUUGUAAGAUGUGUAGGUAGGGAUUUUUUCUGUGGCUAACAAAAUAACUUGCAUGAUUAAGCAAGAAAAUGAGUAGGGUAAACAUGUUCAAUAAAGAAUAUUGAAACGAUUUCUGGAAUACAUUUUAUUCGGAAAGCCUGCUUUUUAUGUGGAUAGAAAGGCAACAUUGAAAAAAAUCUUAUUUCUUGUUUGGCCUAAUUCACUUUAUUUAAUAAAUAGUAAAACAAAGAGUACAAAUAAAUUAUUUUUGAACAGUGCAACACACUUGUUUAUUCUUUGACGCCUUAAAUAAGUGUUCUUAACCAUGGCCCCCAUCGUUCAUUUUGAUUGUCUUUGAAUUGGCAUAGUUGAAACAUAUAGACUGCGAAAAGACACCAAAGUGACUCAUGUAUCGUAAAAGAUCAACCACGAGUAAAAUGAUGAACAUUGUUGGCCAGAUGGUGAAUCGAUUAUUAAGAAUAGCCAGCAAAAAAAUGUUUAAUUGUUAUAUAGAGGUACAGUGGGAGGAAUGAGAUCUCACAAAACAUAUUUAACCCCACUGCAUUGUAAAUAGCGCAUGUCCCAAUUCAGGAGCCUCUAACCUUUGUUAGUCUUUUAUGUUUGUUUUUAAUAUAAGUUCAUUUAUGUGUUUUGAAGAUCUAUUUGUGGACUGUUUUCUGCUCUUUAGUCGAGUUGUCUCUUUGACAUAUUCCCCAUUUCCAUUCUCAAUUUUAUAAUAUGUAGUUUUGUAUAUAUUGUAGUAUGAAAAAAAUAUGUGGUCACAACUUUGCUAGUUUUAGUUUCUUAUUUCAUCUUAUUGUCUUUUCUUUUCUUUCUUCAGAAAUGAAUGCAACGAUGUUCCAGUGAGCCCAAUCAGCUAGGAUCUGACCCGUCGGUUGUUUAAUGAAUAAAACUAUGAAGAAUGCACUUUCUUUAAACUGAG
rnacentral:lncRNA from 1 species